ACGCUGGCGGCGUGCCUAAUACUUGCAAGUCGAACGCUGGAGAUCUAGCUUGCUAGAUCGAAGGAGUGGCGAACGGGUGAGUAAUACAUAAGCAACCUACCCACGAAGACUGGGAUAAUCUCUGGAAACGGGGACUAAUACCGGAUAGGUAAUCGGAAGGCAUCUUCUGGUUAUUAAAGGUUAAAAACACUGGUGGAUGGGCUUAUGGCGCAUUAGUUAGUUGGUGAGGUAACGGCCCACCAAGACGAUGAUGCGUAGCCGGCCUGAGAGGGUGAACGGCCACAUUGGGACUGAGACACGGCCCAGACUCCUACGGGAGGCAGCAGUAGGGAAUUUUCGGCAAUGGGGGCAACCCUGACCGAGCAACGCCGCGUGAGUGAAGACGGCCCUCGGGUUGUAAAGCUCUGUUGUAAGGGAAGAACGGUAGAUAGAGAAUAUCUAAGUGACGGUACCUUACCAGAAAGCCGCGGCUAACUACGUGCCAGCAGCCGCGGUAAUACGUAGGAGGCGAGCGUUAUCCGGAAUUAUUGGGCGUAAAGGGUGCGUAGGCGGCCUGUUAAGUAAGUGGUUAAAUUGUUGGGCUCAACCCAAUCCAGCCACUUAAACUGGCAGGCUAGAGUAUUGGAGAGGCAAGUGGAAUUCCAUGUGUAGCGGUAAAAUGCGUAGAUAUAUGGAGGAACACCAGUGGCGAAGGCGGCUUGCUAGCCAAAGACUGACGCUCAUGCACGAAAGCGUGGGGAGCAAAUAGGAUUAGAUACCCUAGUAGUCCACGCCGUAAACGAUGAAUACUAAGUAUUGGGGAAACUCAGUGCUGCACUAACGCAAUAAGUAUUCCGCCUGUGGAGUAUGCACGCAAGUGUGAAACAUAAAGGAAUUGACGGGGGCCCGCACAAGCGGUGGAGUAUGU
rnacentral:rRNA from 1 species